rnacentral:rRNA from 1 species
GAUGAACGCUGGCGGCGUGCCUAAUACAUGCAAGUCGAGCGAACAGACGAGGAGCUUGCUCCUCUGACGUUAGCGGCGGACGGGUGAGUAACACGUGGAUAACCUACCUAUAAGACUGGGAUAACUUCGGGAAACCGGAGCUAAUACCGGAUAAUAUAUUGAACCGCAUGGUUCAAUAGUUAAAGACGGUUUUGCUGUCACUUAUAGAUGGAUCCGCGUCGCAUUAGCUAGUUGGUAAGGUAACGGCUUACCAAGGCAACGAUGCGUAGCCGACCUGAGAGGGUGAUCGGCCACACUGGAACUGAGACACGGUCCAGACUCCUACGGGAGGCAGCAGUAGGGAAUCUUCCGCAAUGGGCGAAAGCCUGACGGAGCAACGCCGCGUGAGUGAUGAAGGUCUUCGGAUCGUAAAACUCUGUUAUUAGGGAAGAACAAAUGUGUAAGUAAAUAUGCACGUCUUGACGGUACCUAAUCAGAAAGCCACGGCUAACUACGUG